rnacentral:rRNA from 1 species
CACUGGGCGAAAGGCUGACGCAGCGCCGCCGCGUGGGGGAUGACGGCCUUCGGGUUGUAAACCUCUUUCAGCGCCGAAGAAGCGAAAGUGACGGUAGGCGCAGAAGAAGCACCGGCUAACUACGUGCCAGCAGCCGCGGUAAUACGUAGGGUGCGAGCGUUGUCCGGAAUUAUUGGGCGUAAAGAGCUCGUAGGCGGCGUGUCACGUCUGCUGUGGAAACCCGGGGCUUAACUUCGGGCGUGCAGUGGAUACGGGCAGGCUUGAGUUCGGUAGGGGAGACUGGAAUUCCUGGUGUAGCGGUGGAAUGCGCAGAUAUCAGGAGGAACACCGGUGGCGAAGGCGGGUCUCUGGGCCGAUACUGACGCUGAGGAGCGAAAGCGUGGGGAGCGAACAGGAUUAGAUACCCUGGUAGUCCACGCUGUAAACGUUGGGCGCUAGGUGUGGGGGCUUUGUUUGUCUUCCGUGCCGCAGCUAACGCAUUAAGCGCCCCGCCUGGGGAGUACGGCCGCAAGGCUAAAACUCAAAAGAAUU